GUUUGGGUGAUGACUUCACAGUUAGUCGGAUACCCCUUCACUCGUCCUGUGAGUGAUAAAACUGCUGUCUGACAAAC